UUCAGCUAUGGUGAUAUCGUUCCGGUGACAGUGAUGGGGAAAAUAUUCGGCGGUAUUUGUUCACUUUCCGGAGUCCUUGUCAUCGCGCUUCCAGUGCCUGUUAUUGUCUCCAAC
rfam:Hymenolepis diminuta genome assembly, scaffold: HDID_scaffold0000161